rfam:Gasterosteus aculeatus cont1.008657, whole genome shotgun sequence.
ACAACGGCUCUUUUAAGAGCCACCUCACUACCUCCUGAAGAACUUAU